rnacentral:lncRNA from 1 species
AACUACUUUAACAAACAAUCCACCAAUGAAGCAGGCCAAACCCCACCCCACAAACCAAAAAAAAAACCCAUAAAUAAUAGGCAUUCGCUCCGCGACCAUAUCCCAUUUCUUCCGCACCAGGCCGUGGGGACUUGACCUUACUAAAAGAUGGCCACUCAAAAAAUUGGACUUGCUUGCGAUCGGAAACUGGAGAAGAACAGAAGCUUGAUGUAUUUGCAAUUUCUGUACACUUGCACUCCUAAAUUCGGUCCCCAAAGGAUUACGACUGAAUCAAAACUUCCCAAACAAACUGAUGACACACUAAAAAUUGGCACCAGGUAAACUGAAUAAAUAUUCUAUGAACACAAAUCAAACUUGUUAAUCAUAAACGGCCAACCCAGCUGCUUGCUGUUUACAAGCAAGAUACUUGUAGAAAUGGAAUCGAUCCCUUAAGUAAAGCACAAAUCAACCUCUUGCAGUCAUCAACAGUGGCACGUUAUUUUCUGAGGGUAUUAUCUUUUUCGCUUUUAAGGACUAUGCAAAUUCCGUAAUUGGUCCACCACAUCAAAGGAACUGCUUAGACGUUGGUAAUCAGACCGAGGAAGAACAUUUCCUGGGAUCUGCGCAGAUUCAUUGGGUUUAUGAUCCUCUCUUUUUGUUUUGGCUGAAAAACAGUGUCGCACACGGAUGCGAUGAUUUCUUGUCUCAGUUGAAUACCUGCCACGAACCUUAAGCACCAGCACAACUUCCUGGUCUCUUGUGUCUUCACACCACCAGUUUUGCGGGACACCAUCAACAAACUCUUCAAGGGUCUGAAAGUCCUCGUGAUGAACUGACAUUUCUGCUGUGCGAUCUGGUUUGAUCAUGCCAGUAGCAGGUGUGACCUAGUUCAAACAAUACAAAUAGAUGAAACUAAAACAAUCACAAAACUAGAUUCAGUACAUCUGAAAGGAUAGAAACAAAAACAUUCAAUGAUUCCCCUGCAUAUACAUUCCUACACAUGCACAAUCAUAGACACACAAAUGUCAUUAUCAAAUGCACAUGUAAAUGCAUAGACACCUACACAAAUACAUCCAUGCAUGCCCAAACACAUACAUGCACGCAUAAAGAUAUAGCAGGAAAAUGCAUAAGACUAAUCAAUUUGGUCAAUGGCCAAAAUGAGGCAAGGAUAAACGAAAAUAUGGUCUAUUAUCUAAGGGGAAGGGAAUAACAAAUGAGGUGUCAGAUUAAUUCAUCUUCUUUUUCUUCUUUUGUUUUUCUAUUUAAAAGGAAAAAAAAUUAUUCAAAUCCGAAAAUCAAUGGACAAAAGAAGGCAAUAUGCUGUCCACAGAAAAGAUCAGUAAUCGCAAAUGCCCUACAGGGAGCAGAGACUUGACAAGAUAAACACUCUCAAAAAUAGACAAAAGACCAGGAAAUUUGACCACUGUUGCUUCCCAGUUAUACAAGACAAAAAGAAGGGGUUUUUAAACUCUAAUGAGGUAGAGACCCAAAACUCUGUCCCAGAGGUACAGAAGUAACAAAUAUCAUCCCCCAACCCCUCCUCUAUAGGCUUCAAAAUAUAUUUGAUUUCUUUCUAUUAUGGAAGCCUUCUUUUGACCCUUGAAAAAAAAAAAUGUAAAGCUGCUGUACGGCCAAGGCGGAUGUACGGUACAGCAGUUCGUCGCUACAUCACAAUGACCACGCAUUUUAUAUCGUAAUUUGAAAACUCAUAAAGAUAUCAGUGUGCAAAAUGACAAUUAAGAGAGAAAUUUCAAAUCAAUUAAAAUUAGAGAUGAGUUGCUAAACUGCUAAGAAUUUAUAAAACUUAUUGGAAUCAGUCAACUACUUUAACAAACAAUCCACCAAUGAAGCAGGCCAAACCCCACCCCACAAACCAAAAAAAAAACCCAUAAAUAAUAGGCAUUCGCUCCGCGACCAUAUCCCAUUUCUUCCGCACCAGGCCGUGGGGACUUGACCUUACUAAAAGAUGGCCACUCAAAAAAUUGGACUUGCUUGCGAUCGGAAACUGGAGAAGAACAGAAGCUUGAUGUAUUUGCAAUUUCUGUACACUUGCACUCCUAAAUUCGGUCCCCAAAGGAUUACGACUGAAUCAAAACUUCCCAAACAAACUGAUGACACACUAAAAAUUGGCACCAGGUAAACUGAAUAAAUAUUCUAUGAACACAAAUCAAACUUGUUAAUCAUAAACGGCCAACCCAGCUGCUUGCUGUUUACAAGCAAGAUACUUGUAGAAAUGGAAUCGAUCCCUUAAGUAAAGCACAAAUCAACCUCUUGCAGUCAUCAACAGUGGCACGUUAUUUUCUGAGGGUAUUAUCUUUUUCGCUUUUAAGGACUAUGCAAAUUCCGUAAUUGGUCCACCACAUCAAAGGAACUGCUUAGACGUUGGUAAUCAGACCGAGGAAGAACAUUUCCUGGGAUCUGCGCAGAUUCAUUGGGUUUAUGAUCCUCUCUUUUUGUUUUGGCUGAAAAACAGUGUCGCACACGGAUGCGAUGAUUUCUUGUCUCAGUUGAAUACCUGCCACGAACCUUAAGCACCAGCACAACUUCCUGGUCUCUUGUGUCUUCACACCACCAGUUUUGCGGGACACCAUCAACAAACUCUUCAAGGGUCUGAAAGUCCUCG